AGAGGAAGGAGAGAAAUACACCCUCCUCUCUUUCCCCUGUCUCCCCAUCCAUCUCACCAAAUCUGGGGAGGUAAGAAGACAGCUAACUGGUGGCAAUGAUACAGGAAAUACUUCUACUCCUGCUGCUGGCAGUCAGGGCCUCACCAGUGUUGAUGGCUGAGGUGUCAGUACUGGAGGGAAGCUCUGUGACCCUUCUCUGCGGAUACUCUGUGAAGGAUCACGGGUAUGACACAUGCUGGGGCAGAAACUGUUAUUACAAUUUCCUGGGUGAAUGUGGAUGUUCUGAACCCAGAGUGAUCAAGAAAGCUGCCAUCUCACCUAAUGACCCCAAAAAAUACAGCCUCAGCGGGGAAAACCUCACCAUUUCCAACCUUCAGUUGAAGGACGGGGGGAGUUACUGCUGUUGUGUAGAUAUCACAGGUGUAUUUUACCGAGACUAUACAGAAUAUUACAAUCUAAAGGUAGUAAAAGGCAAGUGUUCAUAAUUCAUUGUCAUUGCUUGGUGCAUGUAUUCUAAUUGUGAGCAAAAUGUAGGUUUAUUUACAUUAAAUACUGUAAACUACACUGCAACAUGCUGCAUUGUUGAUUGGACAUUGGCAUCCAUUGUCCAGGUAGAACACCUGAAUAUACCACUUGAUACCUUGUCUCUCUAGUCCAGUAUUGUUUAUU